GAUGAACGCUGGCGGCGUGCCUAAUACAUGCAAGUCGAGCGAACAGACGAGGAUCUUGCGCCUCUGACGUUAGCGGCGGACGGGUGAGUAACAUGUGUAUGACCUACCUAUAAGACUGGGAUAACUUCGGGAAACCGGAUCUAAUACCGGAUAAUAUAUUGAACCGCAUGGUUCAAUAGUGAAAGUCGGUUUUGCUGUCACUUAUAGAUGGAUCCGCGCCGCAUUAUCUAGUUGGUAAGGUAACGGCUUACCAAGGCAACGAUGCGUAGCCGACCUGAGAGGGUGAUCGGCCACACUGGAACUGAGACACGGUCCAGACUCCUACGGGAGGCAGCAGUAGGGAAUCUUCCGCAAUGGGCGAGAGCCUGACGGAGCAAGGCCGCGUGAGUGAUGAAGGUCUUCGGAGCGUAAAGCUCUGUUAUUAGGGAAGAACAAAUGUGUAAGUAACUAUGCACGUAUUGACGGUACCUAAUCAGAAAGCCACGGCUAACUACGUG
rnacentral:rRNA from 1 species